CACUUAGGUAUUGCAGUGGAAAAUACAACCUGCAUGAGGAACAAAUAUUUCUGUUGUUCGGAUAACAAUAAUUGAUGUACAUAACCACCUUCUGUUCAUAGGUAGCACCAAAAGCUGAAACUGGCUAAACAAUUCUGAACAAUUGGUCUACAGAAAUGAGCUUCAGUAACCCUAUAGCUGAACCGUCUGCUCAUUUGGUUAAAAUAAACAGUGCUAUGAAAAAAACAACAACAAAAAAACAAUAUGAGCAUUCUGUAUAAAUACAAAUAUUUGCAUAUUGAUAUAGCAGUCAAAUGGUUUUGUUUGCACACAGCUGAGAGACAAUCCUGACCGUAAAUCCUGUCUGCAAAACAAAGGCAGGUUUGGCACUGCCAUCAUCCUUGGAGAUUGACUUCCUGCUCGGAACCAAUAAAGGAGGAAGAAAAAAACAGUAAAGGCUCAGCAAGUGCUGGCAGAUGGCAGGUCUUACUUUGUUAAUCCAAUUUUGUGUCAGAAAAAAACAGCUCAGCUGAGAGAUCCAGCAUAUUUCUGCAGCAUGUACAGAGCAAGCAUCUUCUGCACCCUCUGCUGCUGUGGAUGGUACCACACUGAUACCCUAAAGAUUGCAGUCCUCAAAGAUGAUUAUGUCCAAGACUUACCCUUUCUUUAGUGGAUAAUCCCAUGUGGGUACUGUAGAUUUAUACUCAAGAACUGCUUCUGUAAUUGUAAAGACUAUUCCGUGCUCAUUUCAGGA
ensembl:lncRNA